CCCGUAGGGGUACCUGCGGAGGGAUCAUUACAGAGUUGCAAAACUCCCACAAACCAUCGCGAACCUUACCCGUACGGUUGCCUCGGCGCUGGCGGUCCGGAAGGCCCUCGGGCCCCCCGGAUCCUCGGGUCUCCCGCUCGCGGGAGGCUGCCCGCCGGAGUGCCGAAACCAAACUCUUGAUAUUUUAUGUCUCUCUGAGUAAAACUUUUAAAUAAGUCAAAACUUUCAACAACGGAUCUCUUGGUUCUGGCAUCGAUGAAGAACGCAGCGAAAUGCGAUAAGUAAUGUGAAUUGCAGAAUUCAGUGAAUCAUCGAAUCUUUGAACGCACAUUGCGCCCGCCAGUAUUCUGGCGGGCAUGCCUGUUCGAGCGUCAUUUCAACCAUCAAGCUCUGCUUGCGUUGGGGAUCCGCGGCUGCCCGCGGUCCCUCAAAAACAGUGGCGGGCUCGCUAGUCACACCGAGCGUAGUAACUCUACAUCGCUAUGGUCGUGCGGCGGGUUCUUGCCGUAAAACCCCCCAAUUUCUAAGGUUGACCUCGGAUCAGGUAGGAAUACCCGCUGAACUUAAGCAUAUCAAAAGGCCGGAGGAA
rnacentral:rRNA from 1 species